GACGAACGCUGGCGGCGUGCCUAAUACAUGCAAGUCGAACGCAGUGGGGACGGGUGAGUAACACGUGGGUAACCUCCCAUCAGAGGGGAUAACACUUGGAAACAGGUGCUAAACCGAUACUGAUGGAUGGCCCCGCGGUGCAUUAGCUCGUUGGUGAGGUAACGGCUCACCAAGGCCACUAUGCAUAGCCGACCGGAGGGGGUGAGCGACAAGACUGGGACGUAGACACGGCACAGACUCCUACGUGAGGCAGCAGUAGGGAAUCUUCGGCAAUGGACGAAAGUCUGACCGAGCAACGCCGCGUGAGGGAAGAAGGUUUUCGGAUCGUAAAACUCUGUUGUUAGAGAAGCGGUAUCUAACCAGAAAGCCACGGCUAACUACGUGCCAGCAGCCGCGGUAAUUC
rnacentral:rRNA from 1 species